rnacentral:rRNA from 1 species
GAUGAACGCUGGCGGCGUGCCUAAUACAUGCAAGUCGAGCGAACAGACGAGGAGCUUGCUCCUCUGACGUUAGCGGCGGACGGGUGAGUAACACGUGGAUAACCUACCUAUAAGACUGGGAUAACUUCGGGAAACCGGAGCUAAUACCGGAUAAUAUAUUGAACCGCAUGGUUCAAUAGUGAAAGACGGUUUUGCUGUCACUUAUAGAUGGAUCCGCGCCGCAUUAGCUAGUUGGUAAGGUAACGGCUUACCAAGGCGACGAUGCGUAGCCGACCUGAGAGGGUGAUCGGCCACACUGGAACUGAGACACGGUCCAGACUCCUACGGGAGGCAGCAGUAGGGAAUCUUCCGCAAUGGGCGAAAGCUUGACGGAGCAACACCGCGUGAGUGAUGAAGGUCUUCGGAUCGUAAAACUCUGUUAUUAGGGAAGAACAAAUGUGUAAGUAACUAUGCACGUCUUGACGGUACCUAAUCAGAAAGCCACGGCUAACUACGUG